GUCCCUUUCGUCUAGUGGUUAGGACAUCGAUUUUCAUGUCGAAGACACGGGUUCAAUUCCCGUAAAGGAUA
rnacentral:tRNA from 1 species